UGUGCAUUCAUCUCACAGAGUUGAACAUU
rnacentral:piRNA from 1 species